rfam:Dipodomys ordii contig_37949, whole genome shotgun sequence.
GGUGGCUCAGUGGUAGGGUGCUUGCCUUGAAUGCAGGAAGCCCUGGGUUCGAUUCCUCAGCACCA